rnacentral:rRNA from 1 species
GAUGAACGCUGGCGGCGUGCCUAAUACAUGCGAGUCGAGCGAACAGACGAGGAGCUUGCUCCUCUGACGUUAGCGGCGGACGGGUGAGUAACACGUGGAUAACCUACCUAUAAGACUGGGAUAACUUCGGGAAACCGGAGCUAAUACCGGAUAAUAUAUUGAACCGCAUGGUUCAAUAGUGAAAGACGGUUUUGCUGUCACUUAUAGAUGGAUCCGCGCCGCAUUAGCUAGUUGGUAAGGUAACGGCUUACCAAGGCAACGAUGCGUAGCCGACCUGAGAGGGGGAUCGGCCACACUGGAACUGAGAAACGGCCCAGAACCCUACGGGAGGCAGCAGGAGGGAAUUUUCCCAAAUGGGGGAAAGCCUGACGGAGCAACGCCGGGGGGGUGAUAAAGGGUUUCGGAUCGUAAAACCCUUUUAUUAGGGAAAAAAAAAUGUGUAAGUAACUAUGCACGUCUUGACGGUACCUAAGCAGAAAGCCACGGCUAACUACGU